AAUCAACGCUGGCGGCGUGCCUCAGACAUGCAAGUCGAACGCGAAAGUCCCCUUCGGGGGACAAGUAGAGUGGCGCACGGGUGAGUAACACGUAGGUAAUCUACCUUCGGAGUGGGGAAUAACAAUACGGAAACGGUUAGCUAAUACCGCAUAAUGCAGCGGCACCUAAUGGUGACAGUUGUUAAAGCGGGGAUCGAAAGACCUCGCGUCUGAAGAGGAGCCUGCGGCGGAUUAGCAGUUGGUAAGGUAA
rnacentral:rRNA from 1 species